GGUCUCGUAGCGGAGUGGUUACCGUUGUGUUCUUAUACUUUCAUUAUGAUUGGAAGCUAUGCAUAGGUCGUGAGUUCGAACCUCACCGAGACCA